AAAUAAGAGAGACAAAGGAGUUCCACUUGAUUUUUUUUUUUUGUUUUGUUUUGUUUUUAAUUUCUAGGUCUCCACAUAUAAUCACAGAAUGAUUUGGGAAGGAAGGGACCUUAGAGAUCACCGAGUUCCAAAUUCCUGCUGUGAACAUCUUCACAUCCAAUAAUGUCUGCAGUCUCUGAAGAUGUAAUAGGACUGGAAAACUAAUCUUGGAACAUUUUUUCAAAGCAAAACACACCUAGGAUUGACUCAGGACCUGAUCCAAACUCCCCUGAGAUGGUCAAGAGCCAGUUGGUGGCCUUAGCCUCGCUUGCCUCUCCUGUGCUGUCUGCAGUUGUUCCAAGCUCAGCCGAUCCUCUCGCGCUGGCUCAAAGAAACUGAUCAUAAUCCUCAAAGUGUUCCAGCGAGGAUAAGAGCAGGAUUUGAUGCUACAGGAAUUCCCUUCUUUACAGCAUCUUUUGGGAUUUAUCUCAAACAGGCCAGACAAGCUGGAAGUGACUUUUUGGAAGCUGCCUCAUGACUUUCUGCCUGGAUUGCGUGUGAUGGGAGUGUAAGUAUUUUCCUGCUACAGCACACCCCUCCAUAGGAAUAAGUGCACUUACUUGACUCAAUCAGCCAUCUGUGACUCCAUCAGCCACAGUGGAAACUAAUGGUAAUUGCCAAUUGUUAACCAGACAAUAGCAGAUGCUAACUUUAAUAUCCAGCAGUGCUCUUCCGAGCAUCUUUUAUGGAGACAUGGCCUCACUUUAAUACGUGUUUUCUUUCCCCAAAAUAAGGCAACUUAGUGAAGGCUGAUUAGCCUAGGGAGCUAUGUGACUUGAAGCAAUGAACUUCCAGGAAUGGCAGCCCAUGUGCUGUUUCUGGGCCAUAAUGCCUAGAAUGUGAAAAUUUAGAAGACUGGAUUUAAAAUUCUUCUCCGAAUGCAAUUUUUUUUUUCCCUGUGAAAUUUCACAAAGAGCCACGUCCUGGAUGCUAACACGAGAGCGAUGCCUUUCCUGGCAGUGUCCUUGCCUCCUAUUAGAUAAUCAAUUAGUCUCAGAACAUUAAAAAGCAAAAUGCUGCAACAGGAUUUUCCACCAAAUUCAAAAAUAUUUACUAAAGGAUUUCAUUGCUGCUGUUUAUUUACAUGGAAGCCUGAAGGCCGCACGACAUAAUGCUGCUGCUCUGGCACCAAGACAGCUCUGCAGCCUGGGCCCCGAAGGACAUCUGGAGUUUCUGGGUCACAGUGGUUCCUUUUUGCAGAAAUUUGCUCGCAGGAAGUAAUGAAUGAGCCCAUUUUCACUUCGACUGGGGCCUGCAGUCUACGGGAGACAUUAGGAGCAAUUUGUAGUCAACGUGCAGGUCUGUUCCAUCUAAAAUAUUAUCAAUGAGCUUGUCAACCCGAGCCUUAACCUUCUUUGUUAUU
rnacentral:lncRNA from 1 species